rnacentral:rRNA from 1 species
UAGGGAAUCUUCGGCAAUGGGGGCAACCCUGACCGAGCAACGCCGCGUGAGUGAAGAAGGUUUUCGGAUCGUAAAGCUCUGUUGUAAGUCAAGAACGAGUGUGAGAGUGGAAAGUUCACACUGUGACGGUAGCUUACCAGAAAGGGACGGCUAACUACGUGCCAGCAGCCGCGGUAAUACGUAGGUCCCGAGCGUUGUCCGGAUUUAUUGGGCGUAAAGCGAGCGCAGGCGGUUUGAUAAGUCUGAAGUUAAAGGCUGUGGCUCAACCAUAGUUCGCUUUGGAAACUGUCAAACUUGAGUGCAGAAGGGGAGAGUGGAAUUCCAUGUGUAGCGGUGAAAUGCGUAGAUAUAUGGAGGAACACCGGUGGCGAAAGCGGCUCUCUGGUCUGUAACUGACGCUGAGGCUCGAAAGCGUGGGGAGCGAACAGGANUAGAUACCCUGGUAGUCCACGCCGUANNGAUGAGUGCUAGGUGUUGGAUCCUUUCCGGGAUUCAGUGNCGCAGCUAACGCANUAAGCACUCCGCCUGGGGAGUACNACCGCAAGGNU